ACCUGCAAAGUAUGAUUGAGUUAUCUUAGGAAUCUGUUUGUCUUAGUGACAUGUGCAAAUAAAGGUGACCAAGACCCACAGAUUCCCAGGGUAUACUUCUUUGUACACGUUCACUA
rnacentral:precursor_RNA from 15 species